rnacentral:rRNA from 1 species
AACAGGAUUAGAUACCCUGGUAGUCCACGCCGUAAACGAUGUCGACUUGGAGGUUGUGCCCUUGAGGCGUGGCUUCCGGAGCUAACGCGUUAAGUCGACCGCCUGGGGAGUACGGCCGCAAGGUUAAAACUCAAAUGAAUUGACGGGGGCCCGCACAAGCGGUGGAGCAUGUGGUUUAAUUCGAUGCAACGCGAAGAACCUUACCUGGCCUUGACAUCCAGAGAACUUAGCAGAGAUGCUUUGGUGCCUUCGGGAACUCUGGGACAGGUGCUGCAUGGCUGUCGUCAGCUCGUGUUGUGAAAUGUUGGGUUAAGUCCCGCAACGAGCGCAACCCUUAUCCUUUGUUGUCAGCGGUUCGGCCGGGAACUCAAAGGAGACUGCCGGUGAUAAACCGGAGGAAGGUGGGGAUGACGUCAAGUCAUCAUGGCCCUUACGGCCAGGGCUACACACGUGCUACAAUGGCGCAUACAAAGAGAAGCGACCUCGCGAGAGCAAGCGGACCUCAUAAAGUGCGUCGUAGUCCGGAUUGGAGUCUGCAACUCGACUCCAUGAAGUCGGAAUCGCUAGUAAUCGUAGAUCAGAAUGCUACGGUGAAUACGUUCCCGGGCCUUGUACACACCGCCCGUCACACCAUGGGAGUGGGUUGCAAAAGAAGUAGGUAGCUUAACCUUCGGGAGGGCGCUUACCACUUUGUGAUUCAUGACUGGGGUGAAGUCGUAACAAGGUAACC